UGGCAGAGAAGGAAGACUACAUCUGUGUGCGCUGUACUGGGAAGGACGCACCAAGCCGAAAGUAAAAACAAAACACACACUCACUUCAUGUAAUUCAGGACUCCAAUAAAGAAGAUUUCCUCAAUCUCAGCAAAGCUACAGGACUGGGGUCGAGCCAGCCUGUACACGGUGCUAUUUCUAUUCCUUAUGGGAUCAUUUUUCCAGAACUCUUUGAAAAAAAGAAAAAACAACUAAAAAAAUUUUGACACUUUUUUGUAAUUUUUUUCCUUAAAAGCUGUUUGUGGUUGUUGAAGUUUAAAAUGCUGACUGUUUUUUGCAGGGGUCUCUACUGAUUACGAAGGUAUUGGAGUUUGCACCUUUUUGUGUACAGCAAAACAUUGUACUUCUGCCUGGGAUAUGCCGGCUUAAGAGUCCAACUCAGUUUCAGAGCCCAGCAGGGGCACCAGAAUUCCAGUAACCCUCACAGAGCAGCCGCGCUCCUUUGUCUGUCACCACAUUGGGGGGAUUUUAAGUUUUUACUUUGGGGUUUUUGUUCCUUUCUUUCUCCCCUUUUCCUUUCUGGUAGGCUAGGUUUAUUUAUCUCAGCAAUAACUUCUAUGUUGGUUUCAGUGGCUGGAAUUAAAACAAAACAAACUUCUAAACAGUGUGUUGGUGCUUUAGCAUUUGGCUCAUGUACAGAAAGCAAAUGUCUAGUUUCUGGUGUCACUGCACUAGUGAUUUAGGAAGAGACUGCGCUGUAAGUAAUCGCCCGCCACGGCUGUAUUUUGGCUUUCUCCCUACUCAGUCCCCCACCCCCACCCUUUUUUUUUUUUUUUUUUUUUGGUAGAAUGUAUCAAAUGUUGCAGUUUAUAUUGUGGAAUAAUAAAUCCUUGGUCCUAUUCUAACACUAGACUACAGCUUCUUCUGCCCUUCCACCUCGUGGGCCUGCAGAACCAGAAGGGUUGCUUGCUUCUGCUUCUUCCCAGGCAGGCAGCCGCAGAAGUGUGUUUGCUCUAGGAGACUCUGUAGCCUUAUUCUCUGGGUGGGCCUGUGCCUUCAUGCCCCACUAAUAAAGAAUCCCUGUCUUUAAAGACCAGAGCCAGUCCUUUAAGCCAUGUUCUUUUUCAGUAAGCCCUCAGAAUAUUGGAGUGGUCCCCAAAUCACUCCAGACUGUAAGACAGCUCUCCUAUGGAAUGCUUUUAUUGUCAUUGAAUUGACAGGGAAGUUUGGUUGAGAUGUGGUCCAUCAUCUUAGAGGCUCAGAUCUGUUGUAUCAGUUGAGGGGGACCUUGGGCCUGCCUGGGAUUUCUCUGCCAUCUAUGUAAUUUCAUCAGUCUCUCUGGUUGUGGACAGCCGAUACCAGUUUCCCCUGAUCUGCAGAGAGGAAGACUUCCAGUGAGCAGAACAGGCUCUUGCUCACUUUUCUCCUAAGUUGUUGCAAGCUCUUGUUUUCCUCACUGUCUGUAGCCAUAAGCCUGAUGGUGGGCAGAGUUAGCAGACCUUUAAUAAAACAUCAAAAAGCAGUUUGUGAAAUAGCGAAAAUUUAAAUGUACUGUCCCCUAUGCAAUCCAGGUAAUUAAAUCUGUUUAAG
rnacentral:lncRNA from 1 species